rnacentral:rRNA from 1 species
UACGGAGGGUGCAAACGUUGCUCGGAAUCAUUGGGCGUAAAGCGCACGUAGGCGGUUCGGUAAGUCGGAUGUGAAAUCCCUCGGCUUAACCGAGGAAGUGCAUCCGAAACUGCCGAGCUUGAGUACGGAAGAGGGUCUCGGAAUUCCCGGUGUAGAGGUGAAAUUCGUAGAUAUCGGGAGGAACACCAGUGGCGAAGGCGGAGACCUGGGCCGAUACUGACGCUGAGGUGCGAAAGCGUGGGGAGCAAAC